AGAGUUUGAUCCUGGCUCAGAACGAACGCUGGCGGCGCGUUUUAAGCAUGCAAGUCGAACGGUAGAGAGGUGCUUGCACCUCUUGAGAGUGGCGAACGGGUGAGUAACACGUAAGUAAUCUGCCUGGAAAUUGGGGAUAGCCUGUGGAAACACAGGGUAAUACCGAAUACGCCCUAUAGUAGGGAUACUAUAGGGGAAAGGGGCUAAGGCCUCGUUUCCAGAUGAGCUUGCGGUUCAUUAGCUAGUUGGUGGGGUAAAGGCCUACCAAGGCGACGAUGAAUAGCCGGCCUGAGAGGGUGACCGGCCACACUGGGACUGAGAUACGGCCCAGACUCCUACGGGAGGCAGCAGCUAAGAAUCUUCCGCAAUGGACGAAAGUCUGACGGAGCGACGCCGCGUGAACGAAGAAGGCCUAACGGUUGUAAAGUUCUUUUCUUGUUGAGGAAUAAUCGCUGUAGGGAAUGACAGCGAGAUGACGUUAAACUUGGAAUAAGCAACGGCUAAUUACGUGCCAGCAGCCGCGGUAACACGUAAGUUGCAAGCGUUGUUCGGAUUCAUUGGGCGUAAAGGGCAUGUAGGCGGCAUGACAAGUCUGGUGUGAAAUAUCUCGGCUCAACCGAGAAAACGCACUGGAAACUAUCAAGCUUGAGUAUCGGAGGGGAAGCUAGAAUUCCUGGUGUAGGGGUGAAAUCUGUAGAUAUCAGGAAGAAUACCGGUGGCGAAGGCGAGCUUCUGGCCAGAUACUGACGCUGAGAUGCGAAAGCGUGGGGAGCAAACAGGAUUAGAUACCCUGGUAGUCCACGCUGUAAACGAUGUGCACUAGGUGUUGGGGAGAUAUU
rnacentral:rRNA from 1 species